rnacentral:tRNA from 1 species
AGCGGGAAGAUCGAGUGAUCCGACUGGUCUCAUAAGCCACGUUGCCGUGGGUGCGAAUCCCACUCCCGCUC